rnacentral:rRNA from 1 species
CCUACGGGAGGCAGCAGUGGGGGAUAUUGCACAAUGGGGGAAACCCUGAUGCAGCAACGCCGCGUGUGGGAAGAAGGUUUUCGGAUUGUAAACCACUGUUCUUAGCGAAGAAACAAAUGACGGUAACUAAGAAGAAAGCUCCGGCUAACUACGUGCCAGCAGCCGCGGUAAUACGUAGGGAGCGAGCGUUGUCCGGAUUUACUGGGUGUAAAGGGUGCGUAGGCGGGCCCGCAAGUCAGACGUGAAAGCCACAGGCUCAACCUGUGAAUUGCGUUUGAAACUGUGGGUCUUGAGUGAAGUAGAGGUAGGCGGAAUUCCCGGUGUAGCGGUGAAAUGCGUAGAGAUCGGGAGGAACACCAGUGGCGAAGGCGGCCUACUGGGCUUUAACUGACGCUGAGGCACGAAAGCGUGGGUAGCAAACAGG